CCUACGGGAGGCAGCAGUGGGGAAUAUUGCACAAUGGGGGAAACCCUGAUGCAGCGACGCCGCGUGAGCGAGGAAGUACCUCGGUAUGUAAAGCUCUGUCAGCAGGGAAGAAAAUGACAGUACCUGACCAAGAAGCCCCGGCUAACUACGUGCCAGCAGCCGCGGUAAUACGUAGGGGGCAAGCGUUAUCCGGAUUCACUGGGCGUAAAGGGAGCGUAGACGGUUAAGUAAGUCUGGAGUGAAAGGCCGGGGCCCAACCCCGGGACUGCUCUGGAAACUAUUGAACUUGAGUGCAGGAGAGGUAA
rnacentral:rRNA from 1 species